rnacentral:tRNA from 1 species
GAGUUGGUGCUAUAUUUGUUAACAUAGCUGCCUUCCAAGCAGUUGGCCCUGGUUUGAGUGCCAGCCUAUUCA